rnacentral:rRNA from 1 species
AACGAACGCUGGCGGCAUGCCUAACACAUGCAAGUCGAACGAGACCUUCGGGUCUAGUGGCGCACGGGUGCGUAACGCGUGGGAACCUGCCCUUAGGUUCGGAAUAACUCCCCGAAAGGGGUGCUAAUACCGGAUAAUGUCUUCGGACCAAAGAUUUAUCGCCUUUGGAUGGGCCCGCGUUGGAUUAGCUAGUUGGUAGGGUAAAAGCCUACCAAGGCGACGAUCCAUAGCUGGUCGGAGAGGAUGAUCAGCCACACUGGGACUGAGACACGGCCCAGACUCCUACGGGAGGCAGCAGUGGGGAAUAUUGGACGAUGGGCGAAAGCCUGAUACAGCCAUGCCGCGUGAGUGAUGAAGGCCUUAGGGUUGUAAAGCUCUUUUACCCGGGAUGAUAAUGACAGUACCGGGAGAAUAAGCGCCGGCUAACUCCGUG